UAGUCCACGCCGUAAACGAUGAGAACUAGGUGUAGCGGGUAUUGACCCCUGCUGUGCCGGAGUUAACGCAUUAAGUUCUCCGCCUGGGGAGUACGGCCGCAAGGCUAAAACUCAAAGGAAUUGACGGGGACCCGCACAAGCGGUGGAGCAUGUGGUUUAAUUCGACGCAACGCGAAGAACCUUACCUGGAUUUGACAUCCUCUGACCACCCUGGAAACAGGGUUUUUUCAACUUGUUGGAACAGAGUGACAGGUGCUGCAUGGCUGUCGUCAGCUCGUGUCGUGAGAUGUUGGGUUAAGUCCUGCAACGAGCGCAACCCUUGUUUUAGUUGCCAUUAUUAAGUUGGGCACUCUAGAGAUACUGCCUCGGUUAACGGGGAGGAAGGUGGGGAUGACGUCAAGUCCUCAUGGCCUUUAUAUCCAGGGCUACACACGUGCUACAAUGGACUGUACAAAGGGUCGCGACACCGCGAGGUGAAGCUAAUCUCAAAAAGCAGUUCUCAGUUCGGA
rnacentral:rRNA from 1 species